AAUACCGGAUGGUUGUUUGACCGCAUGGUUCAACAUAAAAGGUGGCUUCGGCUACCACUUACAGAUGGACCCGCGGCGCAUUAGCUAGUUGGUGAGUAACGGCUCCCAAGGCAACGAUGCGUAGCCGACCUGAGAGGGUGAUCGGCCACACUGGGACUGAGACACGGCCCGCUCCUACGGGAGGCAGCAGUAGGGAAUCUUCCGCAAUGGACGAAAGUCUGACGGAGCAACGCCGCGUGAGUGUGAGGUUUUCGGAUCGUAAAGCUCUGUUGUUAGGGAAGAACAAGUACCGUUCGAAUAGGGCGGUACCUUGACGUACCUACCAGAAAGCCACGGCUAACUACGUGCCAGCAGCCGCGGUAAUACGUAGGUGGCAAGCGUUGUCCGAAUUAUUGGGCGUAAGGGCUCGCAGGCGGUUUCUUAAGUCUGAUGUGAAAGCCCCCGGCUCAACCGGGAGGGUCAUUGGAAACUGGGGACUUGAGUGCAGAAGAGGAGAGUGGAAUUCCACGUGUAGCGGUGAAAUGCUAGAGAUGUGGAGGACACCAGUGGCGAAGGCGACUCUCUGGUCUGUAACUGACGCUGAGGGCGAAAGCGUGGGGAGCGAACAGAUUAGAUACCCUGGUAGUCCACGCCGUAAACGAUGAGUGCUAAGUGUUGGGGGUUUCCGCCCCUUAGUGUGCAGCUAACGCAUUAAGCACUCCGCCUGGGGAGUACGGUCGCAAGACUGAACUCAAAGGAAUUGACGGGGCCCGCACAAGCGGUGGAGCAUGUGGUUUAAUUCGAAGCAACGCGAAGAACCUUCCAGGUCUUGCAUCCUCUGACAAUCCUAGAGAUAGGACGUCCCCUUCGGGGGCAGAGUGACAGGUGGUGCAUGGUUGCGUCGCUCGUGUCGUGAGAUGUUGGGUUAAGUCCCGCAACGAGCGCAACCCUUGAUCUUAGUUGCCAGCUUCGUUGGGCCUCUAAGGUGACUGCCGGUGACAAACCGGAGGAAGGUGGGGAUGACGUCAAAUCAUCAUCCCC
rnacentral:rRNA from 1 species